AAUUCUAUGGUUGGGGAUCACCACAACACGAGGAACUAUAUUAAAGGGUCGUGGCAUUAGGAAGGUUGAGAACCACUGGCUUAUAGGCUAGUGAAAGAGGCAAAACAAUGAUAAUAGUUAGAACUAAGUGCAAUGAGGAGACAUGGCUGGACAAGGGGCUAGGUGAGUGAGAGGAGAGAUGUGCCUCCCACACCACCAGGAAGCAGCUGUCAUCACCACUCUAGUGUUGGAGACACGGGGGCAGGCAGGACGUGACCUGGUGGUAUGUGGUGGGACCUGGUCUCGGAUCCAGGUCAGACUGGAGCACAUACAUGGGAACAGGAAUCCAGCUGGGAAUUGGAGGGCUACUUACCAUCCACGUCUAAGUGGAGACCCCGGGUCUCACGUAGGACUCUGUAUAUGAGAAGAAUUCAAGCUUGGUGGCAUCAAGCUUAUUUGAAAUUUUAGGCUAUAGACUUCCUUUGUGCUAUGUCAGGAGCACAGCACCUGAGUAUGGCCAUGACUUCUUGGUCUCCACUGGCCACAAAGGGAUUCUUUUCAAGGCGGUGAGCUGCCCGGACUCACAGCACCAGGUUCAUGUGCAGAAUGGAGGGGUGGUUGAGAGAUCACAGGCUCUGGACUCCAACUGCUUGGGUUUAAACACGUCCUCACUGUAUGUAAACUUGGACAAGUAAGUUCAGUGCAGCUCCAUUUCCUCACCUGCAAAGCAAGAAAAAAUCCCAAUACCCACCUCAGUGCCUUGUUGAGAAUUGCAUCUGAGACGAUGCUAGUCAUGGAAGCACAGAAGCGCUCAAUCAGUGCUCACUCUGCAUAUUGUUUCUCUCGUUGGCCUUAGUGGAACCUUUGCAUUGUUGGGUGUUUUGCUCAUGUGGCAGAGCUCGCCUCAGAAAAACAUUUUUUUUUUUCCACGUAGAAAACUCCCGUUUACGUUUCUAAACUGGGAACAGCCUGGUGGCAUGGCGAAAGAUCGCGUUCCCCUGAUGGCACAUUUCUGAAGCACAGCAUGCUCACAGUUUUAUCUUCCUAUUCGACAUGCUUUUGCAGACGGCACAAUAUGGAACUGGUCAGACUCCUAAUUAUGACAGUGGUCCAGAGCCAGAAUCCAAUCAUCCAGUUGACAAAGAACUUGGUACAGAGAACGGUGACCAGCUGUUCCCCAUCUCCAGUGAGCAGAAAGUGUGUCAGAGAAGAUGUGUCUGGCAGACCCCCACCCGCCAUAGGACCCAAGAGAGGACCUCUGAUGCCAUGUCUCCCCUACCCCCUGACUCCCGAAGGGGAGGCAGUGCCCAGCUGUGAUCAUGUUAGAAGAGAAAGAUAUGAGAAGGAUCUUACUUCUCUCUGGCCUUCCCACUGUGUCCUAGAACUCAAACAAAUGGGAGUGUUUCUCCAAUCAGUUCUGAGCUCUCUCUGGAUAAAUAGGAUGACAGGAUUCUUCCUUCCUUCCUUGCUUCCUUCCUUCCUUCCUUCCUUCCUUCCUUCCUUCCUUCCUUCUUUCCAUCCUUUCUUCCUUCCUUCCUAACCAUUUGAGGUUUACUUUAUAUUGAUUUAUAAAUAUCAACCUCUUUGUGUAUUUUUCAUAACAUAAAAAAUGUAUUUUGA